rnacentral:rRNA from 1 species
UCCCGCUCAGGAUGAACGCUGGCGGCGUGCUUAACACAUGCAAGUCGAACGAUGAUCCCAGCUUGCUGGGGGAUUAGUGGCGAACGGGUGAGUAACACGUGAGUAACCUGCCCUUAACUCUGGGAUAAGCCUGGGAAACUGGGUCUAAUACCGGAUAUGACUCCUCAUCGCAUGGUGGGGGGUGGAAAGCUUUAUUGUGGUUUUGGAUGGACUCGCGGCCUAUCAGCUUGUUGGUGAGGUAAUGGCUCACCAAGGCGACGACGGGUAGCCGGCCUGAGAGGGUGACCGGCCACACUGGGACUGAGACACGGCCCAGACUCCUACGGGAGGCAGCAGUGGGGAAUAUUGCACAAUGGGCGAAAGCCUGAUGCAGCGACGCCGCGUGAGGGAUGACGGCCUUCGGGUUGUAAACCUCUUUCAGUAGGGAAGAAGCGAAAGUGACGGUACCUGCAGAAGAAGCGCCGGC